rnacentral:rRNA from 1 species
CAGCCGCCGCGGUAAUACCGGCGGCCCGAGUGGCGGUCACUAUUAUUGGGCUUAAAGCGUUCGUAGCCGGGUUGGGAAGUCCUCCGGGAAAUCUGGCCGCUUAACGGUCAGAAUGCCGGAGGAUACUCCCAGCCUAGGGAGCGGGAGAGGCCGAGGGGAUUCCCGGAGGUGGGGGGAAAUCCUAUAAUCCCGGGAGGACCACCUGUGGCGAAGGCGCUCGGCUGGAACGCGUCCGACGGUGAGGGACGAAGGCCAGGGGAGCAAACCGGAUUAGAUACCCGGGUAGUCCUGGCUGUAAACGAUGCGGACUUUGUGUCGGACAAGCUAUGAGCUUGUCCGGUGCCGGAGGGAAACCGUUAAGUCCGCCGCCUGGGGAGUACGGCCGCAAGGCUGAAACUUAAAGGAAUUGGCGGG